UGCGGGUCCCUGGGUCUUGGUGAGACGGUCAAGGAUGGGCCCGUGAUGGAGACCGGCGUGCAGCCAUGUCCAUGGCUGAAGAAGCAUACAGGCCAGGUGGGAGGACGUCUUUCAAAAGCAGCCUUUCCCCUGAGCCCUCACCACCAACCCGGAGACCACCGUGGGCUGGAGCCCAGCACGGCCACCAUUGCAUCUUAGCCAUGGAGUUCAGGACAGGUCAGUUCCAAGGCAUACAGGCUGGAGCUCUGGGGCUUAAAGACAGCGAGCCCCUGAAGAGCCACCAGAUCAAGCCCAGCACUGGAGGACCAGACGCUAUCCACCCCCACCAAGUGGAGAUGGAUGCUGUGGCCAGUACCCCACUCCUCAGGUGGAUGGACAUAGAGACAAAAAUGUGAGUCCAGCCAGUGGGGUGGAAAAUGGGUCGGAUGCGUCUGACUUCCUCACCCUGCAGGUCCGGGAGCCACGGAGUUCUGUGGACAGUCCCAGAACAUGGCAAUGGUGAGAGAUCCACCUGGGUUCCCCAACCUUCUCCACAUUUCUUAGUCAGCACUAUGGCAUAAGGCCCCUUCGCAACCAGGGCUUGCACCCUAUCUCCUGGCCCUGGACUCCUGACCCCCCAGAACCCUGCUAUGGCUGGCAUUAGAGGGCGCUGCUUGGUCCACUUCCCACAACCCCUCCUCCCUCCCCAAGUUGUCCAGAAAUACUGCCAGCUUCCAAGGUGGAGCUUCUAGGGGGGUAAAAUGGCCCCAGGACCCCUAGUUCAGGAGCUCCCAUCCACACUGCCCCAUACACAAGCAUACCACCACCCUCCUAUCACCCCCAAGUCACAGAACCAUGUCUUUUUCUUCAGAAACUGUUUGUGUCUGGUGCUACAGGGAACCCCUUCCUGCCCUCUGCCUUCACCAUCAGGUAGCAGGGGGUCCUCUCCAUCCCUGGCAUAGGAAUACACAACCUUACCGAAUGGUACCCUCCUGCUUGGCUCUGGUUGGGAAAGACACUCUUGUUUGGCUGUAAGGUGGCUGAGUCUCCCUCUCUAGCCUCUAAACUUUGGGGCUCUCUUUUCUCUGUCCUGCUGAUCCACUGUCUUUUCUUCUCCCAUAAAGAUCACCUCCCUAAAAGCUGUCCCUUCCCUCCAUCUGGAUGAUUUCCUGGCCCAGCACUUGAGGUUCUCCGGCUAUGGUGACCCCAGAGCUGACUCUUUUCCUCUGAGCCUCCCUCUUCUUCUCAGAAUGUGGCCCCUGUCUUUGCUUUCUCCCCAUCUCCUUCUUUUUCUCUCAAUGUCCACUUUGUCCCCACCAAACCUCUCCACCUGCCCCGCAUGCUCCCACCUGCUAGGCCAGCCUUGGCCCUGUCUAUCCAGUAGCCUCCUUUUUUCUGUUGUCAGAUCUUUCCCAUUCUAUUUAUAUAACACUCAGAGGGUCAGAAGGAGAGAUCAAACCCAGAGGACUCCAGGGCAAGGUGAUGGUGGCUUGGGGACUUCCUCCAGGAGGUAGGCAUAGAGGAUCAGGAGAUCAGGGUAUCUUGACAUGGAGAAGCCUGAAGCAGAAGACAUGUUCAGGAAUAACCAGACUCUCCUGGAGCCUGAAGGAAGUCUUGCUCUGCAGCUAGGUAGGGCCAGCAUGUGGCCUGGGUAUGAGUAUGAGUGGCUUCCCUGGUGCCCAAUUCUAAGCAGCCCUGCAUCUCUCCACAGUGUGACUGUCGGGUCCUUACAGUGCCCUGACGACCUCCAGGAGGACUGGACUGUGGACCUAUAGACAACCCAUGGAAAUUCUUUGGUGUCAUGGUGUAGGUGGAUUUGAAAUCCAAAACCAAUCCAACAACCACACCAGGACUGCCAACAUCUUAUCUGAACAAGAGACUCCUAUCCCAAAGGAUCCUGGUGGAUAGUCCUCCAGAUCCCACCCCCUGGGCCAUAGCCACCAUGGGGCUGCAGGCAGCCAGGGCAACCUGCUGGUCCGGGAGCCUGCCCUGACUAGAGGAGAAAGCCACGGAAACUGCUUCAGGAACAGACGGUGUUCUGGCCAUCUUGCUCCCAUCAGAGUGGGGGGGGCGGGGGUGGUCUAUGUGUGGAGGACAGGAGGGAGAGGCAAGAGAUCUGCCAGGGAGGGUGAGGGUGAAGGGAACAGACAUAGCUGUGCUGAGCACUCCGCUGAUUGGGCUUUAGUGGCGGUGUGUGGGUUUGCAGAAAGUGUUGACCUGCUAAGCCCAGGACCAAGCCAGGCUCAGAGGGACAGGAAGGAGCAUGGCACCCUGUGCGCAGCUCGGCCUUGGACACUGCCAGCCCAUCUCCCAUUUCCAGGGCACCUGGGGACGGGCCAGGCCUGGAGACUUGUCCAAGCUGCUGGCCCUCACCCAGGGAGGAGGUUAAACAUCCUCAGAUGCCCUGCCUGGUUACUUGGUUACCUUCGCACCUCUGCCUCCCAGCCCCUGGAUGGCGCAUCUCUCCCUUGGGAGCAGGAGGGGAAGCUCACCCUGCCUAACCCCUUCCUAGGCCCAGAGAGCACCCCAGUUCUAGAUGGAGGAAGGCUUGAUUUUGGAGGCAACUAGCUCCUGUUGGCCUCAUUCCUCCCAGGAGGACAAAGGUUACCCGAGGCAGUUCCUUUCCCCAAUAACCCUGGCAGGUAAGGAGGCCCUGAGGAGGCAAAGAGCUACCAGAAUCAAGAAGGGAUACGUAGCAGGUGAGUCAUACCUCAUGCCCUUGGCUCUCCUCCCUGGCUUGGCCCCUCCUCCACUGGGAGUCACAGGAAAAGGUAUGCUAGGCAAUGAUAUGGACCCACAAAGUGAAGAACAGUUGGGCUGGGCAUGGAGAUUUGCUAGAGACCCUAAGAGAGAAAAGGGGAUUUGGGGAGGGAAGUAGAGCCAGAAGAAGCUGGACUGCUGCAUGGUUCUGCUAGUUUGGGGCAGGGCAGAGUUGAGUCUGGGCCUUCCUCCUGCGGGCUGCCUGCACCUCAUGCCUGUCGGAAGCCUGGGGAAGUCCUGUGCUGGGGGCUUGGGUCUAAAGCAAAUAAUCUCCAAGGAGAGUAUGACAUGGGACAGAGCAAGGGGGCCUCCCUGAAGGGCUGGACACCAAAGAAGACAGGAGCUUAGCAAGGGCUUGGCAGCCUGAAGUGACAUUGAUGGCAAUACAGGGGCUGGAGGCGCUACAAAGAGGAGCACAUUGGGGCUUCUGGGCUGGAAGGUAUAGAGGCGCUGGGUGGGAGGGGGCAUUGGCCUUGGGAACCAGAGCCAAGGCAGUGCCACUGAAGCUGAACUCCUCACCUGCAGCAGUGUGGAGUGAGGGGCAGAGCACCUUUGGAAGUUGGCAGGGCCCUUAUGGGCUGGACCUAGAUUUCCUGGGACAGGGACUGGUGCCCUUGUGGGCAUCCUGCUCAGGGACAGGAGGAACAAUGGAAGCUGUUUUGCCCUAGGACUCUCAUAACCUAACCAGGCUGAGCUAAGCCCUGCCCCCACAUUCUGGCCUCUACCCGCUCCCAGCCCGGGCUUCUGGAUCCUAUCAGAUGCCACCACAAUCUGGCUGUGACAUAAUGAGGCAGGCCAGGGUCAGCAGAGUGACCUCUCAUGGCCUCAAUGUUUGGAAAUCCCCAAGUCACAACGACCCAACAGACAAGCUCGAAAGGAGAUUUUCCAAGUGGCCCCUUCAUUACCCAAAGAUACAAACAGCAGACCCCCUCCAUUAUUGCUUCCCUUGGACGGACACAGGACCCAGACGUCAGGACCACCUCGAGCUCAGAGGCAUCCCCAGGCUAAGGGGCUCACCUCUCCUGCGGGGGCUAGGCCAGCUGGCCACACCCAGCCCCAAUAAGUAUGAGCCAGGCUGUCCUGCUGGAAUCACCUAAAAACAAAGAACCAAAUAGGGAGCCUGUGAAUCAGACCUGUGCAGCCCAGAACCAGCCCCAGACCGCAGUGCCCACCAAAACAGCUGCGAGGCUUUGGGGGUCCAGAGGCUGGGCUGGAGGGGAGAAAAUGGGGUGGCAGCUGAAGGAGACUCUUGUGGCUGGAAUCAGUAACUCACACUGGGGGAGGCUGGGAGACCCUCGCAGCCAUGUGGGGAGGGCGUCCUGGAGGGCUUUUGUGGUAAGCUGCCUUCCUGUAUCCCUCCUCUCCAGGUGUUAUUUGGAAAAAAUACUUUUCAAACUACAUGCUGAAAACUUCAGCAUGAAAAUUUAAUGUCAGAAACUCUGUAAUCUCUUUCCCAGAGAUAAGACACAGCCCCUGGAGGAGGGGAGAACCGGAUCCUUCUAACGCAGAAAGCAGAUGCUGGGAGGCAAGCCUGGGUGCGGGGGAGGGGCUGUGCCUGCAGCCCUGGAGGGUCAGUGGAGGACCAUCCUGCCAGACCGGGAAUGCUUGUCUGCCCUUCAGUGCGACUGGGCCGUCCUUUGGGCUGGACAUGGCUCCUGCUGCCACUGGGGCAGAGACUCAGGUUUCCCAGUGACGCCAUGCUCUCCUAACCUGCUCCCUCAGACCCCAACUUAGGUUCAAGGGGGGCUCAUAUUUCAAACAGCUAAGCCAGGGAGGCCAGCCUGGCCAUCACCGCAGGCGACCCUUCCGUUCACCGCUGACUGCCUCCUGGUUAGCAGCGCCACCCGUGGUUGAAACUUGGGGACAUUAUGCCUGCACCAUCCCCUCCCCCAGUUUGGCCCUGGCUGCACAGGCAUCAUCCUCUGAGGCCUGGGUGUGGGUGCCGGGAACUAUGAACUGCCUGCCCUUUCCUUGGCACCAACUGCCAGAAAGGGUGAAAGAGGACUUCACUCAACUCCAUCCUUCAUUUCACCACCCAUGAAGGAGACAAAACUUCUCUAGGUUGUCCCCAGCAGCCCCUCACUAAAGCCAUGGUCCUUGAGGCCUCUCUGUCCGGCAAGGAUGGGGUGCCCUGAAGGCCUAGGUGUGCAUACCAAAACUAUAAUUCUGGGCCUGAAUUCCCACAUUCCAAGGGCCAGGGUGGUGCUAAAGGGCCUCAGAGAGAUAACUGGCCUGGUUUGGGAGCAGAAGGCCCCUGAUCAAAGAUAGCCAGAAGCACAGGGACAGGUGCUCCUCUACUGCCCCCAUCAGGCAUCUGGUGGCACCAGGCUGACUCCUUGGAGACCCACCCACUGAUCCUGCCCAGCACUCCAGAAUGGUCAAGAACCCCAUGUGCACAGAGAUGGGCUCCCCUGUUUAGUGGAAGGGCAUUGAGGGCCAGUUGUCCCACGCACUCAUGGCCCUGGAACCCCAGAACUCAAGUCAGGAAGAGCUCACACAGUUUUCCACAGGCUCCAAGGUUCUAGAGCACCCUGAUCUUGGUCUGGGGACCUAGUCACACUCACCCGAACCCCAAGCCACCCCCCCUGUGCUCCCUCACAGCAUACUGGCUUGAGCAGAAGGGCAGGGCUGGUCACAAACUUGGCCAUGUCUCUCCUUGCUGUCCCACCCCCUCAAGGGGAUGAUCAGGAGGCAAGGGACACUUUGUUGCCUUUUGUUUACCUGCCCCUCCAGGAGUUGCUGUGGCGAUGACACAGGUCACACCUCAGAGGUGGCUAAGUGCACUGGGGGCACUAUGCCAACUGCUAAGCUGCCAGCAUCCUCUUAGGACUCUCUUGACAGCCCUGGCCCACCAAGAACGUUUUGUGAGCCCUAUGGGCAAACAUGUGGCCUGGUGUGCCAGGCCAAGGCCAGUGAACUGGUACCUGCUGCUGGUCCUAGUGACCCCACUUAGCUGCCUUGUCCCUCCUUGGGGCCUUGCUCCCUAAGCUCUCAGGCCCAGGCCUCUGAGUGUGGGAUACUCCUUGAAUUUCCAUUUUGCUCCUACAACUUCAUGGGGGCUUUUCCUGCCUGUGCCCCCACCCACACUGAUUUACACCCUGUGGUCCUCCCAGGCCUUGAUCCCUCCACUGCCCAUGUAACUUGGUCCAUCAGUGCCUGCAUGUGGACCCCAGAGUGAGUAGAAGAGUCUAUGAGGUAAAUGCAAGUGUCAGUGAAGGGGGCGGGCCCGGCAGCCACCCAGUGCCCUCCCCUGUGUCACAAGUGAGACACCUCAGACCUGGGAAGCUGGGGGCGGCAGACGUGGUCUGAAUGACAGACGUGGUUCCCUCUGGACCCCUUUCCAGGGGCCUCCUGGGAAAUCUGAAGCUUUCCUGGCUUUGGGGUCUAGGGGCUCAGACAACAGCCCCGGGAAAAACCUAAGGUUGAGAUAACCAGAAGCCGCCAUCCUGCAGGGUCAUCUUGAUAAAUGUGGGCAACUGCAGCCCAUCUCUAAAGCCACUUCCCUGUCAGCAGUGGAGUCCGGGGCUCGGGCUUCCCGGCACCGGCUUCCCAGCACCGGCAGGCCACUCGAUAUUUUCAGAUAAAGGACAUUCCUGGUGUCCCUCGUCACUCCUUGGACAGCUGUCGGCUCCCCUUACCCCAGCACAAGUGGGCAUGUCCUCCCAAAGCCCCAAAGGAGGCUCAGAACACAUAGUUUUCCCAUUAUGUACCAGCCGAGGGGCCAAGGCGGAUUUAGCUGGGGUGCGGCCCGGGGCCAGGCGGGAGGGUAUGUUCUGGGAGGCGAGGACAGCCGAGAUGGGGACAGCUGGUCCUGACCCCAGUGGCCUCCUUCAGAGCCAGAGCCUGGGGUGUAUUUUUAGGAGGCACCUUGCAGAGCUGUGGCUGCUUCAUCCUGGGGGCACAGGGCCAAGCUCAGUGUGGUCACGUACCAGGUCGUCCUAGGACCUGGGGCAGGCUUCAGUGGGUCACUUGGUUCUGGUCCUGCAACUCUAGGGCAAAUUGCCCAGCUCCUAGGGAGUGAAGCAGGUUUUCCCUCAGCACAUCCAGCCACAUCUGCAGCCUAGUACCAGCCCAGGCCUUCCCCAGAGUCACAAUGUCCCCUUCCCCAGGGUUUAGCCCUGGGCUGAGCACCUGGUGGCUGUCCUGUUCCUCAUUGCACACAAACCACUCACUUGGGGCUAUGCGUCAAGCUGUCAGUGGAGGAAAAGCCAUGAUCCUAGAGUCAUGAUCCCUGAGUUACCAGGGACAUCUGGAGGUUGAGGAUGGGCAUACUCAGUAGGAAGGGGUCAAGUGGCAGCAAGGUUCCUUCAGUGAAGAGAAAUCAACAGCAAUGCAAAGGCCCCAUGAUCAGAUGACUAGAGGAGCCAAUGUCAGCUCUGGGAGCAGAGUUGUGCCUGUACUGCGCCCCCUCACAAGAGACCAGCUGCAGCAGCCCAUGUGGCAGGGAGCAUAGUGCUGUCAAAUGCUUUAGCACCUGGGACACUUCUGGAGUGGGGAGGGGUACCUCCCCAGGCCCUGAGUCAGUAUGGGCUUGCCACAGAGCUUCCCCAAAGACAUGGCUAUCCCAGGAUCUGAAAAUCAUCCAGACUGGCAUAUCUUUUCACCACCUUGGUAUUUGGGCAGGUUGGCCAUGCCACCUCAUAGCUGUGGUCUGGGCUGGCACCAAGGGAAGCUCCUGUCUCUAACCAGCAACAGUAAUGCCACCUCUUAGGACAGCCCAUUCCUCUAGGACUGGGCUUUGAGUAGCCAUGCCUGACCAUGCUCUGUCACAGUGUGGCCAUGGGAGGGAUAAACAGUGAGGGCAGAGGGACCUGCCUAGGCAGGGAAGCACCAGGCCUCACCUAAUGCCAUGGCCCACAGGGGAGAAGAAGAGGUGCUUGGCAUCAGGGGUCAGGGGUCCUGGGAGUAAAUCCACCUGUUAACACCCAUAGGGAGGUCCACGGGCUCCUCCCAUCAGCCUUACAAGCCCCACAGUCAGCAUUACCACCACAUUUUAGACAAAAAGGGCUAUAGCCAAGGGCCUCAUGGUUGAAGGUCCAGCAUCUCAGGGUGGAAACCAAGACUUGUGCCCUCUUGGCCAAGCUGUACCCACAGCCAUGCCUCCCCCCUGGAAGCUUCCACCAAACCUGCUCCUGGGGCUCCACAGCUCAAAUAUGUGCCCAAGGCAGUCAGAGUUCCGCUGUCUAGGUUGGGGUUGGCUGGUCUCUGCUGGCCAGUAAAGCCUGUGAGGAAGUGCCAUCUCCUGGCCCACAGGCAGCCUCCGUGUCUCCCCAGAUUCUUAGGCAGGUACCUCAAACCCAAGGUCCUGCUGUCCAUCCUCUCUCUUUUUUGGGGGGGGGCGGGUACCAGGAAUCAAACUCAAGACCUUGCGCUGGCCAGGCAGGCGCUUAUGCCGCUGAGCUAUAACCCCAGCCCUGGCCAUCCUCUCAAACACUGCAGGAUGACCAAUCAAAGCCAGGAUGGUGGGACCCUUGGGCUGCCCGCUGCCAUGCUCAGGCCCCAGGGAUAUUUUGCGGCCCUGUGUGUGUGACCAGUAGAGUCGGGCGUUUUCGCCCCAGUGGGGUACAUGGACAGCAGACCCCUUUCUGUGCCCUGGCCUGGGCUGCUCUGGCCGGGCUAAUGAGCAUGUGUUUCUAGGGCCCUUUGAUCUGGGCUUUAAUGGCCAUCCGUGCCAAGCAGCCUCCUCCUGGUGCCCACAGCCUAAGCAGGGGUUUAUUAUCCAGAGUCACUGACCAGCAGUCCUGAGGUAAGCUCUUGCUCUCUCUCAAGGGUCAUGAGGACAUUCCUGGUGGCUCCAUGUGGGACAGCCUGGGCACUACUAGGCUUGAUGUUGGGUCCUGUGAACAACUCCUGCAUGAGCGCGCACACGCACACACACACACACACACACACACACACUUACUUCUGUCACUUGGCACCUGCUAGAGAUGUCCAGAGAAUCACAAAUCAUGGCCUCAGCUCUGAGGGCUCCAGACGCCAUGGCACAGAGUGGCAGUCCCUUUACAGCCAGCCCACCACUCUGCCUGGGUACUUCCUUGGAUCUUUGGAGCUGGGGUACGCUCCUCCCAAGCAUCCUGGUCAGCCCAGUCUCUUAUCAUCUGAACUCGAGGUUGGUCAGUGAGCCAGGACUCUGCUGCUCCUCUAACUAUAGAGGACAUCUAGGCUCCCUCUGGCCAUGGCUGUCAUUCAUGAAGCAGUUAAGACACCACAGGCGUGGGGUUUGUGAGUAGAAGAGACUCCUGCGGAACGACUUGGGUCAGUCGUCCCUACUGUGGGUGCAGUGGAGCCAUGGAGCAAGGCAGGAGCUGCAGUGGCCCAGUUCUUUGGGGUGACCUUUCCGCCCAGGUAUCUCUCAGUCAUUCAUGUGCACAUACGCACACAAGCACACAAGUGGGGGAGUGAGACUUCUGUGAGUUGGCCUCAUCCUUCCCCCUCUCUGGCAGCAAGCAAGGAGUUUUAUGAGUGCUACAAAUCAGAUAUCACACAGUUUGACGCUGACACGGUUUUUAUAAGAAUUAUUUAAGGCCCUGGCCGCCAGCAGAGUCCCAGGGAGAACCAGGGCAAGGCACAUCCAGCUGUUUGGGCCGUCGGAAUUCCAAACACUUCGUAAAGUGAAGGUGGAAGGGGGAGCAUCUUGUUCUGUUUAGUAGGACGCGUCACCCCUGCCCUGGGCGCAAAGGCUGCCGGGAACCCCAGCCCAGUGGGGAGGGGGAGAUUGCAGCUGUAAGGACCUGUAUGGGUGGCCCAGGCUCUGGGCUUUUGUGGCAAAGGUGAGGGGGAGUGAGUUUGGGGGGUUGUUCCCCUUAAUGUUCAUCCUCAUUCCAAAGCACACUUGGAGGGAGGCUCUGCAUCUGGGGACAUGGAGGCUAAGUCCUUCUGUGGUUUUUGUGCUCCAUCCCAAAUCUUCUUAAGCUUCCCCCACCUGGCUGGUUCCAUCCUUGGCAAACUCCUGCAAGCCUGAAACAUGCCUGGUGCCCCAUGAUGCCACUGGUGUUUGUGGGAUUGGCCAGACACUGACUGCAAUGUCUGACUGGUCAGUUGGACUGGCAAGAGCAGGCCUAUUGGAACCAGGCUGUCAGUUUAGGGGCCAGAAGAGGAAUGGGUCAGCAGAUCACACAUGCCCCAAGAGCUGCUCUUGCAUGCAUGCAGGUGAGGUGGGGCGUGCAGUAGGAGGAGCACAGCAGCCAAUCAAUCACUCAUCGCAGUGCACGGCUCUGGGGUCCCUUAGCACCUCUGUUACUCUUCAUGGGAAUCAUUUCCUGGUAAUGUCAGACUCAGACUCCCCUUCCCUUUAAGCCAGUCUUAGCAUCCACAAAGGCUGAGUACUGACCCUCUGCUAAUAAGGGACCUGGGAACGCAGUACCUAGCACUUUCCCCAUGCACCAGGGUGAGGAAGAGAUGCAACCAUGGAGCCGAGGCUGGCAGGGGCACCUGGAGAGAAGGGCUGUGUUGCCCCCCUACUUGAAGAGGGAGGCUACCUAUUGCCUGGACUCUGGUCAGAGAAAGAAGGACCCACCAAAGCCUUGCCUUGGCAGGUUGAGUGGAUAUGUCCAGGCUGAAUGAAUAUCCCCAACUCAUCUGGCCCUACACGGUGUAAAAGUCUUGGAGGAAAGAGCCCUGGAGGAGCCAGCUCUGAGUUUCCUAGGGAUGAGAAGAGGUGAUGUGGAUUCUGCCCUGCAGACUCAGGUUCUUGCAGAAGUGUUGGUGCAGAUGGCAGGUAUGUCCUCUAUUCUGGGUAGGCAGACAGAGACCCUUGACUGACUCCAACAAUUGUGGGUAGAAGGUCUGAGGCAACUUCUUAAAUCUUCUCUGUUAUGUCUCUCAGUGAGGGAGGGUGGCAUGGAGGCCCUGGGGGCAGGGGCACCUCGAAAGGCCAGUGCUUCUGCAUAGGUACAACUGAUGAGGCACAGUCCAGCCCUGGCCCAGCGCCCUAAGAUCCCAUCUCUGAGAAACCAGAGGUAGGCCCACCUUUCAAACCAAGCCAGCCCUGGUGGGGACCACAGGUGUGUGUGUGUGUGUGUGUGUGUGUGUGUGUGUGUGUGUGUGUGGUAGGGCAGGCUGGCCUCCCUAUAGGUCAUCCCGUCAGGGCUCCAGCAUCCACAGAGGCCAGGACCAAUCAAAGCCAGAUGUGGCAACGCCAGGAAAACCUGAUUAUUUUGACUAGGAAAAAAACAAAGAAAUAAUGAAGUGAUUUGGGGGGAUUGGUGAUGGGGAUGAUCUCAGAUGGGGAAGGGGGGUAACUGCAGAUGCUAAGCAGGAUACUGGCCUGAGUAUGGGGAGCCAGCUCUUUUGUUGGCUGUCUCCAAAGCUGGUGCCCUGCCUGCCCCCACAUGGCGUCCUGUGAGCCAAGGCCUUGUCAGGGGCAGCUUCUACCAGGCCGAGUUAGGGGAAUCUGGAGCAAGGCUCCUGAGGACACCUUUUCCUUUUUCUCCCAGGAAGCCAUGGUGAGGCUGAAAUCAAGAGGAAGCCUGGAGGGUUGUAACCCAGCUGGCUCCCAGUCUGUGCCCAAGGGCAGCAUGUCCUCUGGAGGGCCUGAUACACUGGCAAGGGACAAUACACUGAAAGGCUAUAAUUCUUUGUUCUUUGGUUGCACAGAGGGGUCCAGAGCCCAUGUGUGUCUUGGAAGGAACAAGCCCAGGCCUGCGGUUGUGUGUGGGAAGUGGGCUAUCCCUGGGAGCAGCACUGUAGUAGGAGUUGGGGCACUGUAAGCAGCAUCUAGGGAAGUGGAUGGAGGCACACAGUCAGCAAAGGGUGACAGAGAAGGGGCUCUGGAUACAGGGCAUCAGCAGGCCUGGGCUGGCCAUAUUCACUCAUCCUCCAUGAAGAAGGAAAACACAUCCACACAAAAGUGCCCAGCAGCACCAGUCACCGGGUUAAAGGGCAGAAAUAACCCAUGAAUCUGCUGAUGAAUGAAUGGAUGGAUAGAACGAGUCCAUACCUACAGGGGAAUAUUACCAGGCCAUAAAAAGGGAAGGAGCCCCUGAACACACUAUCAUGUGGAUGAAGCUUGAGGACACUGUGAUCAGUGAAAUAAGCCAGGCAAGGAAAAACAAAUCCUAUGGGACUCUACCAGAUGAGGUCCCCAGAACUGUCACAUUCAGAGACUGAGAUAGGGUGGGGUGGGUGGCGGUGGGAGAGGGAGCCACAGAUAAAGGGUACAGAGUUGUUUUGGGUGCAAUAAAAUGUUCUCAGAUCACUCAAAGAGGCAGGUACAACUCUAGCAAUACACCAAGGCUGUAGAAUCGUAUCCUCUAAGUGGGUAGAUUGUAUAGUAUAUAAUCUACAUCUCAAUAAAGCUGUUGAUAAACAGA